UUCUCUCUCUCCCUCCCUCUCUCUCUCAGGUGUGUAAUCUCCCUCCAUUUGCAUUCCUCUACUAUAAACAGCUCCAGUCUCUCUUCAGACACUGUGGUUAAAUCAAAUCCAUCUCCUUUGACAGCUCCAGGGCCUAUGUAGAGUUCUACCGCUCGUCAAUGAGAGGUUCUGGCGUUCUCCCAGAGGUCUCUCUGUCUCUCCUCCUCACGCAGCAGAGACUUCCUCUACAUCUCAACGUUUAACCCGCUGGAGAGGUGGAGACUUGGGCAGGGGGGUAGUGUAUCUCACACCUCAGAUAUACACGGUACACACACACACACUCUGCAGCGAGCAUCAUCAGAUGAGUCAUGGUUACAUUUUAAGUGAGAGUAGUCAUGUGACCACAUCCCCUAGACAGUGUGAUGUUUAGAUGAUGUUCUGUACAUUAGUGCUGUUCUGUUACAGGUCUCUCUCUCUGUGUCUCUCUCACUCACUGUGUGUGUGUGUCUCUCUCAGGGUGAAUGUGGAUUUUCAGAAUCAGUCAGUUAGCCCUGUCAGGGUUCUGAGCAGCUCCAUUGAGUUGGAGAAUCUUCCGUCUAACCCUGUCUUUAUCGUCAAUAUCACAGAGGUGUCUGUUCCGCCUCUCACUUUCAGUGCACAAAUAAAAAAAAGCAGUGGCUCCUGUGUGUGUGUGUGUGUGUGUGUGUGUGUGUGUGCGCACUAACAGGAGGUCCAGGUGCAGCCUUUGGAUAUUGAUGAAGAUUUACUGCCCCUGCAAGACCUUCCUCAACUGCGUAGUCUGGAGCAAAGGAUGCAACAGAGCCCAGAUUACAAGCAAAAUCUGGUAAACUGGUUGGCGCUUAUUGACGGGGUGUAUGUGCGUGACUGCACCUGGCGCAUAUUGAAGAGGGUGAUUGCUAACUCCCUGGAAAAGAAUCUCAAUUGGAGGGGAGUCAAUGGAAAGACUUCACUGUCCGCUCUCCAACUCGGAGAGGUCGUGAUUGGAGACGCACCUACGUCUUAAAGUAUUAAAGAUCAUCAAAGGUUACUCUGCCCUUGGCUGCAGUUCAUAGAAACCUCUUCACGGCUAAAGCUGCAGAGAUGGAGGUCGAGGGGACCAUGAAGAGGCGGCUCCAGCUGGCAUCAGAGCGAGAGUGUGGGCGCAAGAGCAGACUUUUGAUAAAGGAGGGUAUUUACAGUGUUUUAACUGCUGUGUUUUUUGCGCUAUUUAUUAAUUUGUUAAAAUGUUCAUAUUAUAGUCUAUUUUUAAUUGUUUAUAAAAGUCCUUGCUGUUUUUAAGUGGCUGAAUUAGUGUGUGUGUGCGCGCGUGUGUGUUGGUAGCUGGGUGGGUAUAUAGUUCUGGUCGGAAGUUGACAUACCCAUUGCAGGAGAAAGAGACCCUGUGUAAUCUGUUUAAACGACUUUUACGCAUGUUUUGCAGAGAGAUCAUUUUCACCUUGCUGUUUGGGUCUCUGUCCCACACUGUUACAGUGCAGUAUUGAGAGCGCGAGGGAGAUCGAUUUUCUAUCAGAAACAGUAACUAUAUAAAAUGGACGUCAACACACACCACUCUGUGAGGUCAUUUCUCGCUCUCAACAGAGUAGUUGUGAUUGUUCAGUGUUUACGACGGGGCCAAAACAUUCAAGGCCAUGGUGUAUUUUGACUGUUCCUGUAGCAUAAUCUCACCAAACUGUGUGUACACGAGUCCACAGACACGGAGUCUAUUCACAGUUCCAUGCUGUGUAGAUGUUCUGCUCAUCCUCACUGUACCGUAAAGGUCAGAACCUCACAUCUGUAACCUUGUAGCUUUCCUUAAUAAACACGACUGCGACCAAGCUUGUGUAGCACUACUAUUUUUAGAUCUCCGCCUCUCAAAAGUAUUGGCACCCUGCGCGUCCGCCUCUCAAAUCUUUUGGCGCCCUACGUGGCCAGCUCUCAAAUCUGUUGACGCCCUAUGCGUCCGGCUGUCAAAUCUAUUGGUGCCCUAUGCGUCCAGCUCUCAAAACUAUUGGCGCCCUUCACGGGCAGUUCUCAAAAGUAUUGGCACCCGAUCUGAAUUUUGCCACGGCAAGCACCACUCACAUUUUCUUCAGGAAAUGUACCUUAAAAUAAUAAAAAGUCUCUCACUAGGCUGUGUGUCGAGAUAAACGUGAAAACAUCUUGAGCUUGUGUUCACCACAGACCUUAUUUCCGGCAUUUAACCCAAAACCCCAUUGACGGAAGUGCUAAUACGCUGAAUCGUUUCUGGGUUUCACGACUCAUUCCUGCAGCACUCUGUAAGACGGGCUGUUGUUAUCAAACCAUCGAAGUAAGAUAAGCGGCUUUGGUAAUGAUUCUUUAAAUGAACCGAUUCAGAAUCCUCUUCUUGAAUCGUUUGAGUCGUUCUCACUCGGUCAGGGUUGCACGUGUGGGUUGCUUUUCCUGCACGUGUUCACAGACCGUAAAUCCCGACCCCAUGGUAGACACUCGACAGAAAUUUCAUACUAAAGUAAGUAUUUUAGAUUUUCUGGGUCUAAACAGAGCAGAAGUAUUGCUAACAUGUUGUACAGAUUCUAUUGGACUGGUGAACUGUGUGGAUUUGUAUAUUUAACCCAGUUUAAUAUGGCCUGCUUUGUUCAGUCAGAGACAAGUAAAUCUGUUCUAAUGUUCAUUUAUUUUCCAUAGAUAAAACACGUUUGUUUACACAUGAAUACGUACUUUAUGCUUUCAGAAUGGUGGAGAUUUGGCUCUUAACUAUGGUUAAGUGGGGGGUACUAUAAAAUGCACAGUUCUGAGACACUAUAUACCUAUACUGUGAAAUCAGUACAUGUGUGUGUUUAGAAUGAUUAUAGCUUUUGGGGAAAAAACUAUUCUUGAAUCUAUUAGUCCUUGUUCUGAUGCACCUGUAACGUCUCCCUGAGGGCAACAGAUCAGAGCCAGGGUGAGAGCUGUCCUCAAUGAUGGUUUUUCCUCUGCUGAGGCAACGGGGGGUGUAAAUAUCCAUCAGGGAGGUGUUGUGGAUAAAAAAUGUCAUAAAAUAAACAUAAGGGAGACCUAGCAUCCAGCAAAGGGGAGAAGAAGAAAAGAUGGGCACCUAGACACAUAGAAGCGGGAUUAGGCGGACAUUGACAAAUUGGAAUUACACUUUAAAGAUCUUUAAGAGCAGUAGUAGUCAAAAAAGUCAAAAAGAGGUAUACGAGCUGAGCUGAGGAGUGCUAAUACACACACACACACACGCUCGUACAGUCAAGGGCGGGCAAGUAGACACAACAUACACACACACUCUCUCGCUCUCAUACACACACAUGAAUAACUUUAAUAAUCUUAUUGUAAUAGAGAAACUCUCUAUAAAAAAACAGAAUAGUAGGAUAUGCAGGACAGUAUAGAGGAUAUGCAGGAGCUUAAGCUCAUCACUUCUGAGAAUUCUCAUCGGUGUGGAUCUCGUGUGGUGGAACGGAACAAUAAAUCUGGACCCUUGCUUCUUCUCACUCACGGCUGGUGUCUUUUUUUCUAUCUCCAACUGGGCUCAGAGGUAGAUGUGAGUGUUGGCUUCUAUGUUGAAUUUUAAGUGUUUUUGGGUAAUAGGCUAUAUUUGAGCCAACAGAGGGGAGAGGUAAUAAAUGAACUUAUAAAUGUGAUUACUUGAUGACCGUAGACAGAACUCUAUAAAUGUGAAAUGUUUUGUUGAAGUUCAGAUGAAUCUCCGAUGUACAGAAUCUUCAACAGAGUUCUGCAGAAAGAUUUUGAAUGCCUGUCAUUCACCAGAACAAAUUUGCAGUUGAACAGUCUGUCUAAAAGAAAAAAUCUAAACACACAAUAUAAAAUUCCUGCAGUGUGAAUAAAGCCUUUGUGUUGCUUUUAGCAAACAUGUCUAGUACUCUCGGUUCAAUGUACACAAUUUACCCCAUUUAAAUGCAUUUUGGAAAUUGUUCCACAUGGCCACAGUGUGAAUAUUCACUGUAUGCCAAAUAAGUAAUCAAAGAAUGGAAUGGAUUUUUUCUUCUCUAAUGGACCAUUAAUCACAAUUAUAAAAGAUGAUGCAUCAGGUACAAAGUAUCAGGGUUUUUUCCCCCUCUUUUUCCCACAAUAGUUGCAUGAUUUUUGCUACACCCUUUCCACCGUGUGUGUGUGUGUGUGUGUGUGUGUGUGUGUGUGUGUGUGUGUGUGUGUGCGGGCGCUACGAAUCACUUUGAGGUAAAAAUAUUUUAAGGCAGCCACUUUCACCUUCCUACAACAAUUGGUGACUGGUCUGAGGUGAAGCUUCUUGUCAUGUUACUGUGGUCAUGGAUCACAUUGUGGGGAUCUCUGUAAUGUAACCGUUUCUGUAAUUAUCCUUACUUGCCUUUGCGCUUUUGUGCUUCUGUGUCUUCUGUUGGUGCUUUAUUCUGCUUUUUAGGGCCCGAGCACCGCUGCUGCAAAACCCUAUUGGAUCUGCUGUUUAUUAUUGGGGCAGAGCACCGAAGGUGCAGCGCUUCCAGUGACCACCGGAGGGCGCAUGCACCGGAUGUGCAGGGCCCUAUUGAUUUUCUGGUGUUUAUUGUUUAUUUCAUGCAUUCUUGUCGUUUUUAAGGACCUAAACAUGGCUGAAAACUCCCAAAACUCGGUAGACGCGCCAGCACCAGUGAAAAUGUAACUUACAUUGGGCAUGGGCAUGGUCGAGGAGCUCCUUAGCACCCCUGAAUGCAGACAAAGAUAUCAGUUAGAUUCAGCUUCGGACACAAGUUCCAGGUACUGAUCGAGAAGGAGUGGAUCAGCUUCGGACACAAGCUGGCCUCGCGUGUCGGCCUUGGAGAUGAGAAUCACGCCAACUCGGAACGAUCCCCUCUCUUUGUGCAGUUCAUCGACUGUGUGUGGCAGAUGAUGAGACAGGUCAGCUACUGAUGCUUUACACCACAACACUGUUGAAUUCUCCAAUCUGAUUGGUCAGAAGGUGUUGGAGACAUUUCUGUAACAGCAAGAUUCUGAUUCCAGCUGCAAGGGAAAUUACAGCUUUAUAGUGAUGUGCUCGUUCCUAUAGUAACAGCUCAUUGACAGGGUCUAGUAUGGCGUACGCAAUACAUAUUCUAAGCUUAAUCGUAAACAUAUUAUAAACAUGUCACUUAAAGAAAAAGACGUAUGAUCAUUGUGAUCUAGUUAAGAUUUAUAAGUUAUCUAUUUAUGGAAGUUUUAUGGAAGUAGUCUCCAGUGUCACGGCAGAGAGGACAUUGCACUUUCCAGUUUCUCAGUAACAUUGCAAGUCUUAUUCAUUUCAAGAGUUAGGGGGAAAAAAGAGAGGCUUGUGAGGGAACUAUUGUUUUAUUUUAAUGUUAUAAAGUAAGAGAUCAUAAUGAGAACUAACUCUCUUUUCCAGGACAUUCCAAAUUGUUCUUUGGCUAUGCCCCAUGUUUGUGCAAUAUUUCAGACCGGUUUUUCCUCUUUUCGCAGCUUCAAAAUGGCUUGCUUUUCUCCCAUAGACAGCUCUCUGGUCUUCAUGUCAGUUUAUUCUUUUUAACAACAAAUGCUGUCUCCACAGGUGAAACCCAGGGCUCAAACCAAGAGAAGACAUUCAGAGCUAUUCAUUCUUUAAAGUCCAUUUAACGAGGUACACCUGGCCAGCAAGAAAAAAACAUCAGUCACUCGUUCCAGUAUUUUUGAACAGUUAAUGAAUAGGAUGGCUUCAAAAAAGCUGCCAUAUUUUAAGCUGUGUAACACGUCUAGAUGUAAAUAUGAGGAAAUGAAAGCUGAAAUUCUGAUCUAUCGUCUCAUAUUCGUCUUUUAUCUCAAACCCAAAUGUCUUCAGUAUACAGCAAAAGCAAGUGAAUUGGCCUUGAUGUUCCAAUACUUUUGAAGAGGACUCUAAUUGUAAGAAUUAAAUAUAAUUUCCGUACUGAACAAAGACUGAUUAUCUGUUCAGGCGUUAUUGUGCAGAUCCACAUUUAAGCAUCUUACUAUACACUGUUAAACCCAGUGUUUGUGUUCUUUC